UGGAUACAGUUAAAACAGGAGGCUACACAGCUGCUGGACACAGGAAAGGUCAAGCCAUGACAUCACAGAGCAAGUCCUGACAACACAGAGUGACUCACGGAGAGAUAAGGCAUCGCAAAAAGCUGAUAAACUGGAUACAUUUAAAACAGGAGGCUACACAGCUGCUGGACACAGGAAAGGUCAAGCCAUGACAUCACAGAGCAAGUCCCGACAACUCAGAGUGACUCACAGAGAGACAAGACAUCGUUAAAAGCUGAUAAACUGGAUACAUUUAAAACAGGAGGCUACACAGCUGCUGGACACAGGAAAGGUCAAGCCAUGACAUCACAGAGCAAGUCCUGACAACACAGAGUGACU